rnacentral:rRNA from 2 species
UUUAUAUGAGAGUUUGAUCCUGGCUCAGGAUGAACGCCGGCGGUGUGCCUAAUACAUGCAAGUCGUACGCACUGGCCCAACUGAUUGAUGGUGCUUGCACCUGAUUGACGAUGGAUUACCAGUGAGUGGCGGACGGGUGAGUAACACGUAGGUAACCUGCCCCGGAGUGGGGGAUAACAUUUGGAAACAGAUGCUAAUACCGCAUAACAACAAAAGCCACAUGGCUUUUGUUUGAAAGAUGGCUUUGGCUAUCACUCUGGGAUGGACCUGCGGUGCAUUAGCUAGUUGGUAAGGUAACGGCUUACCAAGGCGAUGAUGCAUAGCCGAGUUGAGAGACUGAUCGGCCACAAUGGAACUGAGACACGGUCCAUACUCCUACGGGAGGCAGCAGUAGGGAAUCUUCCACAAUGGGCGCAAGCCUGAUGGAGCAACACCGCGUGAGUGAAGAAGGGUUUCGGCUCGUAAAGCUCUGUUGUUGGAGAAGAACGUGCGUGAGAGUAACUGUUCACGCAGUGACGGUAUCCAACCAGAAAGUCACGGCUAACUACGUGCCAGCAGCCGCGGUAAUACGUAGGUGGCAAGCGUUAUCCGGAUUUAUUGGGCGUAAAGCGAGCGCAGGCGGUUGCUUAGGUCUGAUGUGAAAGCCUUCGGCUUAACCGAAGAAGUGCAUCGGAAACCGGGCGACUUGAGUGCAGAAGAGGACAGUGGAACUCCAUGUGUAGCGGUGGAAUGCGUAGAUAUAUGGAAGAACACCAGUGGCGAAGGCGGCUGU